GGGCGGUGGAGAGAACCAGGUCAAUCAGCAGCGGAACGGCCGCCUUUCUCCCCCUAUCUGUGGGUUGCCAGUGUUAGCAGAAGUUGCAGUUUGCUUUACGUGAGUCCAUUUGGGAGUGGAGAGUGAGUGGCUUGAUCACCAAAUACUGAUCCCAUCCCUGGAAGAGUCGGGUGGCUUAGUGAAUGUGUAUGCACAAUCAGUUGGCCUGCUGCCACCGGAAAGACAACAUGGACACCAUACUGCUUCAAGUCCUAAUCAGAAUGGCUACAGGACAGGAGUUCAAACUGAGGUUGAGUAAAACCCAUUCACAAUGCUAACAGUAAUUUCCUCCUGCACAAAGUGACUAAAGGUGAUAAAGAACUGAAGGAGAAGAUUCCAGCUAGCAUUGGAAAAGCCAGAUGACAAGUGAGCUAUUUGGUUUUUGUAGCAAGGUGCAACAAAUUAAACAAGUGAAACGUCAUCACCCUGCGGUGAGAGUCAGGUCUAUCAAAGAGCUGGUUAUGUUCAUCUGUCAAGAAAAGGAUUUAAGGAUAUGGGAAGAAGCAAGCAAGAGUAUCUGCUAAUGCAGAAAGAAGAUAAAGAAAUCUGUAGAACGCAUAAGUGAGAAAAACCAUGGUGGGACUACAGUUUCAGUGGAUAAAAGCCUCACAGCUCAAAUGAAUGUGGAGGGUAUUUUUAUGACAUAAUUUCCUGCAUAGGGUGACUAGAUCCCAAUUUACUGGAAAUAGCCUGAUUUUGAGAAAAUGCCCCUGCCAAUUCUAUCAAAAUCAAAGCCUUCUUGGACAGACACAUUUGGAGUUAUUCGAAAGAAGGACCGUGCUGUUUGUGCUUUCUAUUGUGAAAGUGUUGUUUAUCGCACAUCAAGUGUUCGAUGACAAUUUGAAACGAAGCACAAGAAAACUUUUCUUGACGAAGCAGACAAGACUGGAUUGAUCAA